rnacentral:rRNA from 1 species
UACGAAGGGGGCUAGCGUUGUUCGGAAUCACUGGGCGUAAAGCGCACGUAGGCGGCCUGAUAAGUAGGGGGUGAAAUCCUGCGGCUUAACCGCAGGGCUGCCUUCUAAACUGUCGGGCUAGAGCACGGUAGAGGCAGAUGGAAUUCCCGGUGUAGUGGUGAAAUGCGUAGAGAUCGGCAGGAACACCCAGGGGGAAACCAGUCGACUGGGCAUCUACUGACGCUGAGGUGCGAGAGCGUGGGGAGCGAACCGG